AAGAAGACGGGUUGAUGAGAGUAGGCCGUCGUUUGGGACGUCCCGACAUGAGGCUGGUGGGAGCAGCAGACGAUUUGAGGGAGGCAGCGGGCAUGGCCUACAACGCACGCAAAGCGCUCGUGUCCCAGAUGCAUCCAUCGCAGGCGUUAAUAAAAAAAGAUUAAAAAAUAUGUGGAGCAAGGGGCUCAAGGAGAAAGUGGGUGGCGCUAUAUCUAGGUGGUUCAUCUCGAGCCAUGUACCAGCAAAUGCAACAGUUAGUCCUCACUUUAAAAAUAUGGUUGAGGAGGUACAGCGUGCCGGGCCCGGCGUGAAGCCUCCCACGCCACAGGAGAUUCUUAGUGUCUACCUCGAUCGGGAGCACGAGGAGAUGCGGGCUUGGGUAUGUGGACUCAAGCCGAACUGGAAGCAGUACGGGGUGACAAUCAUGUGUGAUGGGUGGACAGGACCCACGAAAUUGUCCAUUAUCAAUUUCAUGGUGUACUGUAGAGGACAACUAGUUUUCCUCAAAUCCAUUGAUGCAUCGGCCAGAAUAAAAGAUCACGAAUACAUAUAUGCUCUCCUAAAAGAAGUGAUUAGAGAUGCUGGGUCCCAGAAUGUUGUCCAAGUUGUGACGGACAAUAGCAGUGCGUUCAUUAAGGUGGGGAAGAAAUUGAUGAAGAAGUUCAAUCUCCAUUAAACUCCAUGUGUGGCACACUGCAUUGAUUUAAUGCUCGAGGAGAUAGGGAUGAGGGAUUCUGUCAAGAAGACUAUCCAGGAUGCGAGGAGAGUGACAAACUUUAUAUACAAUCACUCAUGGUUGUUGGCUACAAUGCGUGAGUGUUGUGGAGGGGACAUCGUUGGACCAGGCGCGACACGGUUCGCCACGAACUUCAUUGCACUCGACAGCUUAUACAAGCACCGCGUGGGUCUGAGAAAUUUGUUCAGGUCCGAGAAAUACAUGGAGUGGAAUCAGAGGAAGACUGAGGGUGCAAAGACCUGUUCGAAAAUAGUGCUUUCCGAUUCCUUCUGGGAUAAAGUUCACAACGUCGUUUCCUUCCUGCAUCCGAUGUACAAGGUCCUACGAGCCGUAGAUAAUGAGAUGUGGCCUUCAAUGGGGUCAAUGUAUGAGCUUAUGAGAAUUAUGAGAGAGGAUAAAUGACUGCAAUCCUCAGUUCGUAUCAGUGGGUGAUCAAUAUCAUCAAUCAUCGGUGGACCGGGACUCUCGAGCAUCCACUCCACCAAGCCGGUAAGUUUGUUCAUACAACUGAGUACUUUAAGCAUCACUUCUGUUUGUAUGUUAAUACAACUGAGUAACUAAUAUUUGGGUUUCAGCAUACUACCUGAAUCCCAAAUUUCAUUAUAAACGUUGGCUCCAUGAGAAUCAAGAUUUGACGAUGGCCGUCCACGAGGCGUUCGAGUGAUUGUUCCCAGAAUCGACAGCGCAAGUAGAUUUCGGUAACAAGUUGUUGCGGUUUAGGGAUGCGAGGGGUACAUUCUCAUCUGCACUAGCAAAAGCAUCGACUGAAACGAUGAUGCCGUGUGAGUGGUGGGCGAUGUACGGAGUCGACACUCCCGCACUGCAGUUAUUGGCAGUCCGUAUUCUCGCACAUACUGUAUCCUCCUCACCGUGUGAGAGGAAUUGGAGCACAUGGUCACUCAUACACACCAGCAAGACGAACAGGCUGGCAUAUGAGAAGCUGUAAAAGCUCGUUUACUGCCACUACAAUAUGAAGUUAAGAUAGGCAGUUGCGGGUAGAUCGAGACAUGGAGGAAUAUCAGGACCCGCUGGACCUGUUGUCUAUAGGUAACAUGGCACAGAUAGGUGAUGAUGAUGAGGACCCACUUUAUGAGUGGAUCAAAUCAGCUGAUUUAGGUGAUGCGGAGGGAGGCCCUGCUCCACAGGUAGCUGAGGGAGCAGCGGCUCUGGGUAUCGAUGUCGAUCAGGUAAUAAUCGAAUAGAAGGCAGAUACAGACUCCUUUGAUCUUUUGGUGAGGAGUUCGACACGUUCCAAUGAGGGUGAGGAAGCAUCUUUACGGCCCCCUCUCCAUCAUCAAGUCGUAGUGAGUGAUGAUGAUGAUGAGACUCAACCCCCGCUCGACACUGGUCCUGGGGACGACGACGACGACGGUCAUGAGGGAGGGGACGGA